CUCUAAUUCUCUGGAUAGAAUUUAGAUGGUUUAUUUCAUCAUUUGUUAGUUUAAAGACAUGGAGACAAUGGUUUUGGUCUUU